rfam:Harpegnathos saltator strain R22 G/1 HarSal_1.0_2.contig7806, whole genome shotgun sequence.
GCCCCCGUGGCUCAGGGGUUGGAACAUUGGUCUUGUAAACCAGAGGUCGGGAGUUCAAAUCUCUCUGGGGGCG